ANAUAUUUUCCUCAAUAAUUUAGAAAAAGAAAUUUUAAAUACCAAUAAUCCUAAUAUCUUACUAUGGCGCAGAUACGUCGACGACGUACUAAUCAUCUGGAAUAACAAAGACCUAGACUCAAUUCAUUCUUUCUAUGCCUACAUUAAUAGUUUGCAUAAUGAUAUUAACUUCACAAUGGAAAUUGAAGAAGAUAACAAAUUAAAUUUUCUAGAUCUCACCUUGACUAACAACGCUAAAUUAAUUACUUUCGACAUUUACAGAAAGCCGACGCAGACAGAUUCGGUCAUUCCCAAAAAUUCUUACCACCACAAAAACCAUAAAGCUGCAGCAUUUUGGGCUUUCAUUUACAGAUACUAUAAUACACCUCUUUCAAAAGAAAGCAGAAAUAAAGAAUUAGACAUAAUCCAUAAUAUAGCCAAAAAUAAUGGAUAUACAGAAUCAGACAUUGAAUAUAUCAUAAAAAAAUAUAAUAAAAAACAACAACAUUUAAUUUCAACAAGCUUACAACAAACAAACAUAACUAAAAUCUAUCGCUCAAUAAAUUACCCGGGCAAUAUUGGUUAUUCUAUUCGUAAAACUUUUCUUAAAUAUAAUGUCAACAUUUCAUUUAGUAACAAUAAUACCUUGGGAAAAAUUUUAAUUAAUGCAAAAGAUAAAUUACAAACACUUGAACAGAAUGGUGUAUAUAGAUUAGAGUGCGACACCUGUGGUGCAACAUAUAUUGGAGAGACCGGUAGAUCAUUGAAACAAAGGAUUAAAGAACACAAAAAUAACCAAAAUUCCAACUUUGGUAGACAUAUGAUUAUCCAUAACCACGAAUUUGACAUUAAUAAAAAUUUGACACUACUCCAUAAACAGAAUAAAGGAUUUAAGCUCAACUUAUUAGAAACAUAUGAGAUAGAUAAAUGUCGAACCAAAAAUCAAAAUAUCGAAUGUCUAAACGACCAGAUACACACAUUUAAGACUCCACUCUAUAAAUCCUUGAUAAACCCCUUUCCUAUUCCUUAACCUUAACCUCCCAAAUUGCAGAGGACUUUGUGUAGGUGGUACGUAUACACAAUUUCGCACUUUUUGGGAUCCUUACGACCAAACAUUCCCUUUUCCCUUCCCCCCCCCCCCCUUUCUUCUCCCUAUUUCUCGUUUUAUAUUAUCUCAUUUUGGAAAAUAUUUCAUUUUGAAACUCAUCGACAUUUAGAUCUGUUAAAUGAAAGUAGGAAACACAAUAAUGAACACAUAAUAUAAGAUUAAAUUAAGUUAUUGAUCUUAACAUAGAAUAUAUUUGAUAUGAAUGUGAUUUUGAUUUUUAAAAACCAAUUUAAUUCGUACACAGAGUUCGCAAUAGUGGUACAACCAGUUAGUUACAUCUCUCUUUCUUUCCGUUAUCGAUUAAGAACAAGUUCACGUUACGUUUUAUUUCGACAGCAACAGCAUAGAUGUUAACACCAAAAACAAAUUACAAACAAGAAUUUUAGUUUUACACCCCGAUCUUUGAUUGUAUUCACGUUGAACCUUAAUUUAAAUGUUUCUUCUUAAUUAAAUUUGACGCACGUCUCUGAAGAUGAUAACUUGUUAUCGAAACAUGUAAGACAAAACGAUUAAUAAAUUUAAAACCAGUAAAAAGUACAGUUGAUUUUUCUUUUCAUUUAU
rnacentral:lncRNA from 1 species